rnacentral:rRNA from 1 species
AUUGAACGCUGGCGGCAUGCCUUACACAUGCAAGUCGAACGGCAGCACGGGAGCAAUCCUGGUGGCGAGUGGCGAACGGGUGAGUAAUAUAUCGGAACGUGCCCAAUCGUGGGGGAUAACGUAGCGAAAGCUACGCUAAUACCGCAUACGAUCUACGGAUGAAAGCGGGGGAUCGCAAGACCUCGCGCGAUUGGAGCGGCCGAUAUCAGAUUAGCUAGUUGGUGGGGUAAAGGCCCACCAAGGCGACGAUCUGUAGCUGGACUGAGAGGACGACGAGCAACACGUGAACUGGGACACGGUCCAGACUCCUACGGGAGGCAGCAGUGGGGAAUUUUGGACAAUGGGCGCAAGCCUGAUCCAGCAAUGCCGCGUGCAGGAUGAAGGCCUUCGGGUUGUAAACUGCUUUUGUCAGGGAAGAAACGGUUGUGGCUAAUAUCCAUGGCUAAUGACGGUACCUGAAGAAUAAGCACCGGCUAACUACGUGCCAGCAGCCGCCGUAA